UACGUAGGGGGCAAGCGUUGUCCGGAUUUAUUGGGCGUAAAGAGCGUGUAGGCGGCUAGGUAGGUCCGUUGUGAAAACUCGAGGCUCAACCUCGAGACGUCGAUGGAAACCAUCUAGCUAGAGUCCGGAAGAGGAGAGUGGAAUUCCUGGUGUAGCGGUGAAAUGCGUAGAUAUCGGUAGGAACACCAGUGGCGAAGGCGGUCUCCUGGAGCAUUCUUGACGCUGAGGCGCGAAAGCUGGGGGAGCGAACGGGG
rnacentral:rRNA from 1 species